rnacentral:rRNA from 1 species
CGUAGGAGACGAGCGUUAUCCGGAUUUACUGGGCGUAAAGCGUGUGCAGGCGGUUCGGCAAGUUGGAUGUGAAAUCUCCCGGCUCAACUGGGAGGGGUCGUUCAAAACUACCGAACUUGAGGUCAUCAGAGGAAGGUGGAAUUCCGGGUGUAGUGGUGAAAUGCGUAGAUAUCCGGAGGAACACCAGUGGCGAAGGCGGCCUUCUGGGAUGAUCCUGACGCUCAGACACGAAAGCUAGGGGAGCGAACGGGAUUAGAGACCCCGGUAGUCCUAGCUGUAAACGAUGUAGACUUGGCGUCGGAGGGUUCAAAACCUUCGGUGUCGUAGCUAACGCGAUAAGUCUACCGCCUGGGGACUACGGCCGCGAGGUUA